rnacentral:rRNA from 1 species
GACGAACGCUGGCGGCGUGCCUAAUACAUGCAAGUCGAGCGAAUGGAUUAAGAGCUUGCUCUUAUGAAGUUAGCGGCGGACGGGUGAGUAACACGUGGGUAACCUGCCCAUAAGACUGGGAUAACUCCGGGAAACCGGGGCUAAUACCGGAUAACAUUUUGAACCGCAUGGUUCGAAAUUGAAAGGCGGCUUCGGCUGUAACUUAUGGAUGGACCCGCGUCGCAUUAGCUAGUUGGUGAGGUAACGGCUCACCAAGGCAACGAUGCGUAGCCGACCUGAGAGGGUGAUCGGCCACACUGGGACUGAGACACGGCCCAGACUCCUACGGGAGGCAGCAGUAGGGAAUCUUCCGCAAUGGACAAAAGUCUGACGGAGCAACGCCGCGUGAGUGGUGAAGGCUUUCGGGUCGUAAAACUCUGUUGUUAGGGAAGAACAAGUGCUAGUUGAAUAAGCUGGCACCUUGACGGUACCUAACCAGAAAGCCACGGCUAACUACGUGCCAGCAGCCGCAGUAA